AGCGAACGCUGGCGGCAGGCUUAACACAUGCAAGUCGAGCGGGCAUCCUUGUGGUGUCAGCGGCAGACGGGUGAGUAACGCGUGGGAACGUGCCCUUCGGUUCGGAAUAACUCAGGGAAACUUGAGCUAAUACCGGAUACGUGCGAGAGCAGAAAGGUUUAUCUGCCGAAGGAUCGGCCCGCGUCUGAUUAGCUAGUUGGUGAGGUUAUGGCUCACCAAGGCGACGAUCAGUAGCUGGUCUGAGAGGAUGACCAGCCACACUGGGACUGAGACACGGCCCAGACUCCUACGGGAGGCAGCAGUGGGGAAUAUUGGACAAUGGGGGCAAUCAUGAUGCAGCCAGGCCGGGAGAGUGAUGACGGCCUUAGGGUUGUAAAGCUGUUUUCUCCGGGACGAUAAUGACGGUACCGGAGGAAUAAGCCCCGGCUAACUUCGUG
rnacentral:rRNA from 1 species